rfam:Cavia porcellus supercont2_130 genomic scaffold, whole genome shotgun sequence.
CAAAAGACUUUUUUAAAAGUCAUACAGCAUCUUUAAAUAGGUAAUC